UACGAAGGGGACUAGCGUUGUUCGGAAUUACUGGGCGUAAAGCGUGCGCAGGCGGCCUCUUAAGUCAGAUGUGAAAUCCCCGGGCUUAACCUGGGAACUGCGUUUGAAACUGGGAGGCUAGAGUGUGGAAGAGGGGGGUGGAAUUCCAGGUGUAGCAGUGAAAUGCGUAGAGAUCUGGAGGAACACCGAUGGCGAAGGCAGCCCCCUGGGCUGACACUGACGCUCAUGCACGAAAGCGUGGGGAGCAAACAGG
rnacentral:rRNA from 1 species